GCACGCUUAGCUCAGUUGGUAGAGCAUUCCCUUGACGUGGGAAGGGUCGGGGGUUCGAAUCCCUCAGCGUGCA
rnacentral:tRNA from 2 species